rnacentral:rRNA from 1 species
AGCGAACGCUGGCGGCAGGCUUAACACAUGCAAGUCGAGCGGGCACUUUCGGGUGUCAGCGGCGGACGGGUGAGUAACGCGUGGGAACGUGCCCUCUGGUUCGGAAUAACUCAGGGAAACUUGAGCUAAUACCGGAUACGCCCUUUUGGGGAAAGGCUUGCUGCCGGAGGAUCGGCCCGCGUCUGAUUAGCUAGUUGGUGAGGUAACGGCCCACCAAGGCGACGAUCAGUAGCUGGUCUGAGAGGAUGAUCAGCCACACUGGGACUGAGACACGGCCCAGACUCCUACGGGAGGCAGCAGUGGGGAAUAUUGGACAAUGGGCGCAAGCCUGAUCCAGCCAUGCCGCGUGAGUGAUGAAGGCCUUAGGGUUGUAAAGCUCUUUUAUCCGGGACGAUAAUGACGGUACCGGAGGAAUAAGCCCCGGCUAACUUCGUG